rnacentral:rRNA from 1 species
UACGUAGGGGGCAAGCGUUGUCCGGAAUCAUUGGGCGUAAAGAGCGUGUAGGCGGCCAGAAAAGUCCGCUGUGAAAACUCGAGGCUCAACUUCGAGCUGUCGGUGGAAACUUUCUGGCUAGAGUCCGGAAGAGGAGAAUGGAAUUCCUGGUGUAGCGGUGAAAUGCGCAGAUAUCAGGAAGAACACCCGUGGCGAAGGCGGUUCUCUGGGCCUUACCUGACGCUGAGGAGCGAAAGCGUGGGGAGCAAACAGG